GCAGGCUCCUGGGGGCUGCUCUUUGCAUGUCCCCCAAAGGCCACGUCUGAAGGUUUGGUCGCCCGUCUGUGUGCUAUGGGAGGGCGUGGAACCUGUAGGGGUGGGGCCUAACCGUAGGAAGUUGCAUCAUUGGGGGCGUGGCCUGGCAGGGGUACUGGGAUUGGAGUUCCUCUGGUCUUCAGGAGAGAGCCCCUUCCUGCCCGUGGCUCCCAACUGUGAUGCUCUGAGCCACCACAGACUCAAAGGAUGGAGUGGAGAUCAUGCAGGAACCCAGUGAAAUUGUGAACCUAGGUAGACCUUUCUUCCUUUGUUUUUGUUUUUUUGAGACGAGGCCUUGUUACGUUGCCCAAGCUGGUCUUCAACUUCUGGGCCCAAGGGAUCGACCUGCCUCAGCUUCUCAAUGACAGAAAGCUGACUACCACACUGGCCCUCAGUUUUCUUGAAUCCGCCUACCUCAGGAGACAUUUAGGGUGAGGUGCUACUGUAUUGUGUGGAGCCAAACACAUGUUUGUGUUGAAGGAUAAGCGAAUUCAGAGUCAGGAUCACUAACAUUUUUGGGGAGCUUCCUCUGUGCCAGGCACCACGCCAAGUGCUCAGCAUGGAUUAGCUCAUGUAAUCCCUGCUGGAGCCCUGUCAGGAGCAAGACAAAAGAAAGUUUGACAUGGAACAGGAAGGCAGUGUGACCACUAAACACGAUGGCUUUCAAGUUAGAGGAAGGGGCCCCGAGCCAGGGAAUGCAGAGACACAUCCGAAGCCAGAAGGGGCAAGGAAAUGGGUUCUCCUCAGAGCCUCUGGAGCGAGUGUGAUACCUUCUUUUCCACCCAGUGAAACUUUUCAGACUUCUGACCUCCAGAACCAUGAGAAAAUAACUAUGUCUUCUUUAAAACCACAAAAUGUAUAGUAACUUCUAUGCAGC
ensembl:lncRNA